rnacentral:lncRNA from 1 species
UCUAACCACACGCCCCACAGCAGUAUUGCUGUGCCUGCACACACACACCAGCCCCAUGCCGCUGCAAUUGCUCACCUUCAGCAAGGAUUUCCUGGCCUUGGCCUUGCGCUUCUCAUCGGCCCACUCCUGAGCCUGUGGGAGGGGAGAGGAGAGGCGUUGGCACCGAGGUGCUCUGCAUCCCACCGGCCCUCUGCUGCCAUGCCAUGGGCAGGGUGCCCUCCAGCCUGCAGCUCGCCCCGCCGGCCCAUCUUUGUCUGUGCUCCUAGAGCUCACCUGCAGCAACUUCUGCACCAGCUUCACACGCUGCUGCGCUAUUAUUCCGCUGCCAAACUGAACCCGCAUUACUGCACCACUCGCACAGCUCCUCGCUGGACCAGAACCAACCGCAGAAUGGGGCCGGCAGGUUCAGUGCUGACCCACUGCCCCUGCCCCACCCCAGGGCCUCUGUGAGGUCAUCACAUCAUUGUGACAUCACCCGCACAGGAGGGUCCUGGAAGAUCAUAGAACUGCAGGACGGCGUGGCUUGGGAGGUUCCUUAGUGAUCACAGAACCAUAGAAUGGUUUGUGUUGCAAGAGUCCUGGAAGAUGAUAGAACCACAGGAUGGUGUGGCUUGGAAGGGUCCUGGAAGAUCAUAGAAUCACAGAAUGGUUCUUUGAAACAGCUGUGAAGGAUCUGUGAGCAAAUCCGCCGUCAGUAGUUGGUGCCGCGGGAAGGCCUGAGGUCCGACCUUUCCUCCAACGGCUUCAGUGUAACUUUGGAAAGACAGUGCUCACACCUGGUUUGUUCUAUCUGCCAGGACGUCUGUUCCCUCAGAUGGCAUUUCUGGAGUCGGUUUCCCCAGCUCCGGAAAGAAGGGUUUGUGUUAGGGUUAGGAUUAUCAUUAAGUUUACCAUUACGGUUAGUGCUGGAGUUAGGGCUAUGGUUAGGGCUAGGGUUUGGCUUAGGGUUAGGCUUAGGCUUAGGGCUAUGGAUUGGGUUAGGGUUAG